rfam:Naegleria gruberi genomic scaffold NAEGRscaffold_137, whole genome shotgun sequence.
GUUGAGGUGGCCGAGUGGUUAAGGCGCCAGCCUGCUAAGUUGGUGGAGUAAUCCGCGUGGGUUCGAAUCCCAUCCUCAACG